rnacentral:lncRNA from 1 species
AAAGAAAGAUGAAUAAACUAAAGUCAAAUGAAGAACUAGAGAGGAGUUGACUGGUCAACCGUAGUCCUAGAUUCUAUAAGCCACCUUAACGAAAACAAGGAGAAAUCCGUGUGGGCCUACCUAAUAACACUCCGACCCAUAAUACUUUAUAAGAUGCGUCCCAGACAUCAGAGCGAUCGCGUUCCUGCUUGUAUUACGUUCGGAUUAAUCGAAAACAACAUGAUUUCUCCUUCUCCCACGUGGAUUUAGGUCGAUGUAUCAACGCCACCAGCCAAGCUUGUCAACUGCCUUCUCAUGAUUCUUUACGCUAAUCCUUGUGCUCAAGUCUUGAAUUUGGGCGUGCCUCGAUUCUCGUCGUCAGGAGUCCUCGUGCCAAGAGGAACAAGGAAUGACGGAGAUCCCAACGGUCGAAGUCCUGAAUUUGGGCGUGCCUCGAUUCUCGUCGUACCCUCCUUCCUCCAAAAGAUUUGACCGCGAUCAUUCGAGAAUGAUAUCGAUGCUCGAUCAACUGGUUUCAUUUCGUUCGAGAAUGAUAUGAAUACUCUGAUCCACUAAUUUAAUUUCCGUGCGUUUGUCCAACCAAUGGAUCUGUGCCUAUGAACACUCGACACUCGGGCUUAUGCUCCCCAUAUAGAACCAAACCAUCAUACUAAACAAAGAUUAGAAAGAGAGGCACAAAAGAAAGGAAAGAGAUCGCAAGUUCUUUGUUCUUCUCCAUACGGCUGGGCGUAAGGAUCAAAUCGAAUUGAUUUAGACACUAGGGUAGAUAAAGAACACAAAAGAAAGGAAGGGCGCGAGCGAUAAGUCUAUUUUUUCCAAGGGCGAGUCGCGAUGAGCUCGCAAAGGUCUCGAAAGAACCCAUAACUUGAUUUCCCACAAGGUGGAAAACCGGAAUAGUAGGCUCAUUAGUCUCAAGUAUUCGGUUGCGUGCGGUUUCUAUGGUGCAGAAUCCCUAAUUCCAUAAGGAGAAUGGACCGGAAGCUAAAUACAAAUUAAUAAAUAAAGAAAGAUGAAUAAACUAAAGUCAAAUGAAGAACUAGAGAGGAGUUGACUGGUCAACCGUAGUCCUAGAUUCUAUAAGCCACCUUAACGAAAACAAGGAGAAAUCCGUGUGGGCCUACCUAAUAACACUCCGACCCAUAAUACUUUAUAAGAUGCGUCCCAGACAUCAGAGCGAUCGCGUUCCUGCUUGUAUUACGUUCGGAUUAAUCGAAAACAACAUGAUUUCUCCUUCUCCCACGUGGAUUUAGGUCGAUGUAUCAACGCCACCAGCCAAGCUUGUCAACUGCCUUCUCAUGAUUCUUUACGCUAAUCCUUGUGCUCAAGUCUUGAAUUUGGGCGUGCCUCGAUUCUCGUCGUCAGGAGUCCUCGUGCCAAGAGGAACAAGGAAUGACGGAGAUCCCAACGGUCGAAGUCCUGAAUUUGGGCGUGCCUCGAUUCUCGUCGUACCCUCCUUCCUCCAAAAGAUUUGACCGCGAUCAUUCG